rnacentral:ncRNA from 1 species
AAAAAGGACUCUUAGCACUGAACUGGGAGUUUGACCAGAAUAGCACACCUGUCAAACGCUAAGGCAGGUGUCCUAAAAUGAGUUCAGAAAACUCCCAUGGAGUAGUAAGGUAAAAACUCAUUUGCUAUUGAUCUUUUCAGUAUGAAAAUUGACUGUGAAAGCAAAGCCUCAUGAUCCUUCUGACUUUUGGGAUUUUAGGAAAGUGACCCCAGCCAGGGACAACUGACUUGUGAUGGUCAAGUAUGAUGAAAGCUCUUUUUCUUACUGGGAAGCAAAAUUCGCCAAGAGCUACAUGUUAGCCCACAAAUGGAUAAUGCGGGCUUGCAUCAGCCCAUUGGAGCCAUGUGAGUUUUAU